AUACUGGUUCCCACCAGGUGUACCGUCUAUACUAGUUCCCACCAGGUGUACCGCCUAUACUAGUUCCCACCAGGUGUACCGUCUAUACUAGUUCCCACCAGGUGUACCGUCUAUACUAGUUCCCACCAGGUGUACCGUCUAUACUAGUUACUACCAGGUGUACCGUCUAUACUAGUUCCCACCAGGUGUACCGUCUAUACUAGUUCCCACCAGGUGUACCGUCUAUACUAGUUCCCACCAGGUGUACCGUCUAUACUAGUUCCCACCAGGUGUACCGUCUAUACUAGUUCCCACCAGGUGUACCGUCUAUACUAGUUCCCACCAGGUGUACCGUCUAUACUAGUUCCCACCAGGUGUACCGUCUAUACUAGUUCCCACCAGGUGUACCGUCUAUACUAGUUCCCACCAGGUGUACCGUCUAUACUAGUUCCCACCAGGUGUACCGUCUAUACUAGUUCCCACCAGGUGUACCGUCUAUACUAGUUCCCACCAGGUGUACCGUCUAUACUAGUUCCCACCAGGUGCCCCGCCUAUACUAGUUCCCACCAGGUGUACCGUCUAUACUAGUUACUACCAGGUGUCCCGUCUAUACUAGUUCCCACCAGGUGUACCGCCUAUACUAGUUCCCACCAGGUGUACCGUCUAUACUAGUUCCCACCAGGUGUACCGUCUAUACUAGUUCCCACCAGGUGUACCGUCUAUACUAGUUCCCACCAGGUGUACCGUCUAUACUAGUUACUACCAGGUGUACCGUCUAUACUAGUUCCCACCAGGUGUACCGUCUAUACUAGUUCCCACCAGGUGUACCGUCUAUACUAGUUCCCACCAGGUGUACCGUCUAUACUAGUUCCCACCAGGUGUACCGUCUAUACUAGUUCCCACCAGGUGUACCGUCUAUACUAGUUCCCACCAGGUGUACCGUCUAUACUAGUUACUACCAGGUGUACCGUCUAUACUAGUUCCCACCAGGUGUACCGCCUAUACUAGUUCCCACCAGGUGUACCGUCUAUACUAGUUACUACCAGGUGUACCGUCUAUACUAGUUACUACCAGGUGUACCGUCUAUACUAGUUCCCACCAGGUGUACCGUCUAUACUAGUUACCACCAGGUGUACCGAAGAUGGGAAUUACAGAACUGAUCGAGUCUCUGCUUGAUACCAAACACCCCAUAAUAUCUGUCCCUCUGCUCUCCCUAAACGGUGGCAUUGACUGGUUCAGCAGACUGUUAUCCCUCCACAACAGACUAAUGCAGCUCUGUGGGUGUAAACAUUUACUGACAAUUCUGAUACCUUCUGGAAAACAAAGCUCGUUUUAAAAGGAGGAUGGGAUCCACACAAAUCAUUUGGGUUCCUGGUUCCUCUCACAGCAUUGUAAGGCUGUGUUGAGACAAUGACUUAUCAAUGACUCAAGCCCAGCUCAGUUAAUCCCUACCAUUAUAACACAGGUUCCUGGUUCCUCUCACAGCAUUGUAAGGCUGCGUUCAGACAAUGACUUAUCAAUGACCCGAGCCCAGCUCAGUUAAUCCCUACCAUUAUAACACAGGUUCCUGGUUCCU